GCUGUGACACUCAGGAGGCUGUGGCACUUAGGAGGCUCACACUCUGCUAAGGUCACACAGCUGGGAAGUGACAGAACCAGAACUAGGAUUCACUGCCUUACCUUCAGGCAAACUGGAGCCCCCAAAUUUCCACCGAUGGCAGCAUGAUGGGACCCAAACCCAAGAUUCCAAGUUGUGGGGGUGAAACCACGCCCUCGAAGAUACUCUAGUCUCAUUCCAGUGUGCACAGGGCCAGCUCUGGAUAACUUUCUGGUUUUAAAAAUGUUACAUCAUCAUUUUGGGCCUUCAUCCAGCUCAGAACCUCAAAGAAGUGAGAAGGUGCUUACAAAGAACUCACAACGAGUGAGUGUAGUGCGUAUUAGAUGGACAGCCCAAGAAAGAGCUGCUUCCUCCUCUUGCCCCCUGCCCCUCUGUCCUGGGGUGGUGAGAACCAUGCAGGAGCUCUAGCUCCCUGCUGUGGAGGUGAGGACAAUGAAUGGAACCCGAGAGACCUGAGUUUCGUUUCCAGUUCUGCUGCCAUUGCAAGAAUUAAGCAUCUGUGGAGGUGACAAGGACCACUGAAGAAAAAAAAUAAGGGCAAGGAGGAGCAGGAAUCUGAUCCCUCCCCGUCGUCUGUGCAGAGGCGCCCGGCUCGCGUACGUCCUGUGUUAGGCUUCCGAAUAACAUUUCAUUGGAAAAAUGGACCCCACGGCUACACAAGACAAAACAAACAGCCAAACAAACAAAUUUGAAACAAAAACUCUGAACCGCGUAAUCCCCAACAUUUAAUAAUUUUUAACACCAAGAAUGUAUGAGCUGGAAAAUGA